rnacentral:lncRNA from 1 species
AACAAGCCCAGAAGGCGGCGGACACUCGCAUAAAGUCACGCAGUAGUACUCGGAGCCCGGGGUAGAACCUGGACUUCAAAUUUCUGCACUCCCGGCCGGGUGGUGGGCGCAUAUCCUGGGUAGCCUCUAGGAAGCGCUAGACACAUGGAACCAAGGCAGAUUCAGCCUGGCAGCUGGCAAGUCAUGGAGCACUGCCUGUCCAUCUGCGAGCUAACAACAGUCGCGCUGGAAGUCAACAAGGGAAAUGGAAAGGGAGAGACCCAGCCUCCACAGGGGCUCACGCCCUGGGACCUGUGCCAGUGUGAACAAGGUUUUCCGGCCCCAGGAAGCAGGCCUAAGUACUCUCAUUUCAUCACUGAGGAGCCUGAGACGUUCAGUCAUUGAUUGGACAGCCCUCACCAUUCAAGCCCUCCUUGGUUUACAGCAGCAGAAAGAGAGGCUCUGAAGGUUCUAGCCAGAGGAAGCUGCAGCCAGGCCUGGCAGUCUCCCCUGCUCCCUUCCACCAGCUUGGUUCCUGUUCCUGCUGGUCCUGGGAGCCCCCAGCAGAUGGACUGCCCUUAUCAGCCGGCUCCAGGCCAGAGGAGGAAUCCUCCGGUCACGUGUGGCUCUCUGGAGGGAGAGAGACCUCAUAAAUACAUACAGCCCACGCAGAGGAAGGGGGGAGGGUCAAGGGGAAAGAAACCUUGACAUUCUGGCGACUGGGCCAGGAUUAAAGGCCACCAGGCAUAGUCCUUAUUGGCUAUUUCUAUGAGGAAUCUCAAAUCCACAUGGCUUCCCUGGAUGACAACGCUGACUUUGACUAGCCCUGGGAUCUGGGGCAUUCCCAGUGUGCUGCUGGCUUGAUCCAGGCCUAAUCCUUUGCCCAGGACUGACCUUUCACAGUUUACAGAGCACUUUAUCUCCUGGCUCAGUGAAGUCUCACAGAACCCUCCAGAGAGAAGGGAGUUUAUCAUCACCCUCAAUUUACAGAUGAGGAAGCUGAGGCUGCGAUUGUAA